rnacentral:rRNA from 1 species
CAGCCGCCGCGGUAAAACGUAGGGUGCGAGCGUUAAUCGGAUUUACUGGGCGUAAAGCGUGCGCAGGCGGCCCGUUAAGACAGGUGUGAAAUCCCUGGGCUCAACCUAGGAAUUGCGCUUGUGACUGGCGGGCUCGAGUACGGUAGAGGGGGGUGGAAUUCCUGGUGUAGCAGUGAAAUGCGUAGAGAUCAGGAGGAACACCGAUGGCGAAGGCAGCCCCCUGGGCCUGUACUGACGCUCAUGCACGAAAGCGUAGGGAGCAAACAGGAUUAGAUACCCCAGUAGUCCCUGUCUCUUAUAC